CAUGGCCCUUAUGUCCAGGGCUGCACACGUGCUACAAUGGAUGGUACAAUGGGUAGCCACCCCGCGAGGGGGAGCAAAUCCACAAAGCCAUUCUCAGUUCGGAUUGGAGUCUGCAACUCGACUCCAUGAAGG
rnacentral:rRNA from 1 species